rnacentral:misc_RNA from 1 species
AACGCACGAGACCUGCGGACCUGCGGAGGGAUCAUUACCGAGUUAUCCAACUCCCAACCCCUGUGAAUUAUACCUUUAAUUGUUGCUUCGGCGGGACUUCGCGCCCGCCGGGGACCCAAACCUUCUGAAUUUUUUAAUAAGUAUCUUCUGAGUGGUUAAAAAAAUGAAUCAAAACUUUCAGCAACGGAUCUCU